GCGCCCGUAGCUCAGCUGGAUAGAGUAUCAGAUUCCGAAUCUGAGGGUCGCAGGUUCGACUCCUGUCGGGCGCG
rnacentral:tRNA from 1 species